CAACGAACCAGCUUGCUGGUUCGUUGCCGAGCGGCGGACGGGUGAGUAACGCGUGGGCAAUCUGCCCUCUAGCCUGGGAUAACAGUUCGAAAGGACUGCUAACACCGGAUAUGCUCACACCCUGGCAUCAGGGAGUGAGAAAAGUUUACACUAGAGGAUGAGCCCGCGUCCCAUUAGCUAGUUGGUUUUUCACGGCCCACCAGAAAACGAUGGGUAGCCGACCUGAGAGGGUAUCGGCCACAUCGUCCGCGACACAGAACNACUCCUACUGAGUCAG
rnacentral:misc_RNA from 1 species